AGAGUUUGAUCCUGGCUCAGGAUGAACGCUGGCGGCGUGCUUAACACAUGCAAGUCGAGCGGAGGUUUAAAGCGGAAGUUUUCGGAUGGAAGCAAUAAACUUUAGCGGCGGACGGGUGAGUAACGCGUGGGUAACCUGCCUCAUACAGGGGGAUAACAGUUAGAAAUGACUGCUAAAACCGCAUAAGCGCACAUUGUCGAGUGACAGAGUGUGAAAAACUCCGGUGGUAUGAGAUGGACCCGCGUCUGAUUAGCUAGUUGGUGAGGUAACGGCCCACCAAGGCGACGAUCAGUAGCCGGCCUGAGAGGGCGACCGGCCACAUUGGGACUGAGACACGGCCCAAACUCCUACGGGAGGCAGCAGUGGGGAAUAUUGCACAAUGGGGGAAACCCUGAUGCAGCGACGCCGCGUGAGUGAAGAAGUAUUUCGGUAUGUAAAGCUCUAUCAGCAGGGAAGAAGAAAGACGGUACCUGACUAAGAAGCCCCGGCUAACUACGUGCCAGCAGCCGCGGUAAUACGUAGGGGGCAAGCGUUAUCCGGAUUUACUGGGUGUAAAGGGAGCGUAGACGGCUGUGCAAGUCUGAAGUGAAAGCCCAGGGCUCAACCCUGGGACUGCUUUGGAAACUGUGAAGCUAGAGUGCUGGAGAGGUAAGUGGAAUUCCUAGUGUAGCGGUGAAAUGCGUAGAUAUUAGGAGGAACACCAGUGGCGAAGGCGGCUUACUGGACAGUAACUGACGUUGAGGCUCGAAAGCGUGGGGAGCAAACAGGAUUAGAUACCCUGGUAGUCCACGCGGUAAACGAUGAAUACUAGGUGUUGGAGAGCAAAGCUUUUCGGUGCCGUCGCAAACGCAAUAAGUAUUCCACCUGGGGAGUACGUUCGCAAGAAUGAAACUCAAAGGAAUUGACGGGGACCCGCACAAGCGGUGGAGCAUGUGGUUUAAUUCGAAGCAACGCGAAGAACCUUACCAAGUCUUGACAUCGGAAUGACGCAGGAGUAACGUCCUGUUUCCCUCGGGACAUUGGAGACAGGUGGUGCAUGGUUGUCGUCAGCUCGUGUCGUGAGAUGUUGGGUUAAGUCCCGCAACGAGCGCAACCCUUAUCCCCAGUAGCCAGCACGUAGAGGUGGGCACUCUGUGGAGACUGCCAGGGACAACCUGGAGGAAGGUGGGGAUGACGUCAAAUCAUCAUGCCCCUUAUGAUUUGGGCUACACACGUGCUACAAUGGCGUGAACAGAGGGAGGCGAAGGGGCGACCUGGAGCAAACCCCAAAAAUAACGUCCCAGUUCGGACUGCGGCCUGCAACCCGGCCGCACGAAGCUGGAAUCGCUAGUAAUCGCGGAUCAGAAUGCCGCGGUGAAUACGUUCCCGGGUCUUGUACACACCGCCCGUCACACCAUGGGAGUCAGCAACGCCCGAAGUCAGUGACCCAACCGAGAGGAGGGAGCUGCCGAAGGCGGGGCAGGUAACUGGGGUGAAGUCGUAACAAGGUAGCCGUAUCGGAAGGUGCGGCUG
rnacentral:rRNA from 1 species